rnacentral:rRNA from 1 species
AGAGUUUGAUCCUGGCUCAGGAUGAACGCUAGCGACAGGCCUAACACAUGCAAGUCGAGGGGCAUCGGGGCGAGGAGCAAUCCUUGCCGCCGGCGACCGGCGCACGGGUGAGUAACGCGUAUGCGACCUGCCCGUUGCAGGGGGAUAAUCGGGAGAAAUCCCGUCUAAUACCGCGUAAUGCCGCGGGGCUGCAUGGCCCUGCGGCCAAAGGAAGCGAUUCCGGCAACGGAUGGGCAUGCGUGACAUUAGCUAGUUGGCGGGGCAACGGCCCACCAAGGCGACGAUGUCUAGGGGUUCUGAGAGGAAGGUCCCCCACACUGGUACUGAGACACGGACCAGACUCCUACGGGAGGCAGCAGUGAGGAAUAUUGGUCAAUGGGCGCGAGCCUGAACCAGCCAAGUCGCGUGAGGGAUGACGGCCCUACGGGUUGUAAACCUCUUUUGUCGGGGAGCAAAUUCCGCCACGUGUGGCGGAGUCGAGAGUACCCGAAGAAAAAGCAUCGGCUAACUCCGUGCCAGCAGCCGCGGUAAUACGGAGGAUGCGAGCGUUAUCCGGAUUUAUUGGGUUUAAAGGGUGCGUAGGCGGACUGUCAAGUCAGCGGUAAAAUACGGGGGCUCAACCUCCGCCCGCCGUUGAAACUGACGGUCUUGAGUGGGCGAGAAGUAUGCGGAAUGCGUGGUGUAGCGGUGAAAUGCAUAGAUAUCACGCAGAACUCCGAUUGCGAAGGCAGCAUACCGGCGCCCAACUGACGCUGAAGCACGAAAGCGUGGGUAUCGAACAGGAUUAGAUACCCUGGUAGUCCACGCAGUAAACGAUGAAUACUAGCUGUCCGGGGCGAAUGAGCCCUGGGUGGCACAGCGAAAGCGUUAAGUAUUCCACCUGGGGAGUACGCCGGCAACGGUGAAACUCAA